rnacentral:rRNA from 1 species
CAUGCCGCGUGUGUGAAGAAGGCUUUCGGGUUGUAAAGCACUUUCAGCGGGGAGGAAGGCUCAGAAGUUAAUACCUUCUGGGAUUGACGUUACCCGCAGAAGAAGCACCGGCUAACUCCGUGCCAGCAACUUCGGUGACUGAGCGGGCUGGCAAGGCGCAUA